CGCUCGGACCGCCGGGCCCGAGACGGCGCCCGCGCCCGGAUUCGCUUCGGCUCGGCCGCGCGUAUAUUUCCCUUCCUCCAUGGUCUCCAACACUGAUAAAGUAGAAGAAACUGAGGUACCGUCAAAGAGAAAAGUAACUGGGACUGAGAAAAAGAAAGAGACUGGCCCUGAGCUAACAUCCGUGCCCAUCUUCCUCCACUUUAUAUGGGAUGCCGCCACAGCAUGGCCUGGCAAGCGGUGUGUUGGUGCGCGCCUGGGAUCCAAACCCCGGGCCGCCAGCAGCGGAGGUCGCGCACUUAACUGCUAAGCCAUGGGGCCGGCCCCUAUGGAAGUUUUUAAUCUAAAAAUUUUAUCUAUUAUUGAGAACUAUUUCGUAGGUUAAAAGUAUAUGUAUAACAUAUAUCAACCACAAAGAAUAUUAAAAUGAACAUGUGUCUAUCAUCUGGUUUAAUAAAUAUAAUAUUAGUAAUAUCUUUAAACCCUCAUAUGUUUUUCCAUAUUCCACAUUCCUCUCCUGUCCCCACCCCCAGUAUCCUGAAUUUUGUGUUAUCAUUCCCUUGCUUUUUCUUUGAGAUUAGUUUCCUUCCCACUUGUAACUUCUUAAUUUUGAAAAAUUUCAAACCUACAGAAAAGUUGAAGGAAUACAGUGAACACCAGCAUACUCUUCACUUAGAUUUACUGAUUAACCUUUUGCCACAUUGACAGAAUGACAUGGGCAAAUGCUUAUGAUCUAGUGU